rnacentral:rRNA from 1 species
UACGUAGGGGGCAAGCGUCGUCCGGAAUCAUUGGGCGUAAAGAGCGUGUAGGCGGCCCGGUAAGUCCGCUGUGAAAGUCGGGGGCUCAACCCUCGAAUGCCGGUGGAUACUGUCGGGCUAGAGUGCGGAAGAGGCGAGUGGAAUUCCUGGUGUAGCGGUGAAAUGCGCAGAUAUCAGGAGGAACACCGAUUGCGAAGGCAGCUCGCUGGGACGUAACUGACGCUGAGACGCGAAAGCGUGGGGAGCAAACAGG